AGAGCUGAGUCAGACGGAAAAGUCGCCUUACCCAGCUCCUUCCCAGCCUUCGGUUUCCUUAUCUAUAUAACGGGUCGACAGUAACUGCUCCCACGCCCACAGGAGGGCCGCGCGACUCGAAGGGGCUGUGGUACGUAAACUGCUUUGCAAGCGUUGGGAGCGAGUUACUCUCACUCUCGGAGGCCCGGCCCUUCCUGAGGCCAGCCCCGCACACCGCCGCUCAUCGAGUGGUAGGGGCAGGGUCAGAGGGCCGCCGCCUGGUAUAUUCCUGAGCCCGUUCCACUGCAGCUCGAGAAGCUACGCUAGGUCCUCAGUGUUGAGGGCCUCCUGGCCUCAGGCCUGCGGGGAAGGAAGUUUUUCGAGAAGGAAAUGGUUGUGAAAGCCCCCGCUUGACUCUCAAGGCCCAGUUGGGAUGGUGACUCUGCAGGCCUUCCCCAUGGCGCCCAGGUGAAGUCGUCGCUCUGUCCUGUGUUCCCACCAUAUCACUCGACACUGCAAUUACCUGCUGACAUAUGAGAAAACUGAGGCUCAUCGUGGAAGUGACACAUAGAAGACUGCAUAGUAAGGGGCAGAAGCAGGACUGAGCCAGGUUUGGGGAGUCCAUCCGGUGGGGAAAGAAGGCAUGGCUUCGGAUGGCUAAGGCUGGAGCUUGGCACACUUUCAAAGGAAUCAUGCCUCGGUUCUGAUCCCUGUUGCCCUGCCAAUGGCAGGCCUGAGAGAGCAGGGGAGAGACAUACAUUGGGCACAUACUGUGUGAAGACCUAGCUUGGGACACUUUCACAUAUAGAAUUCUAUUUUAUUCUGAUAGAGGCAUCACCACCUCAAUGUACAAGAGAGGAAACUGAAGGGCACAGGAGGGAAGUGGCUUGUCCACCAUCUCCCAGUGAGGGAGAAGCAGAGCCGAGAUCUGAAUUCCAGGCUCAGUGUCUCCGCACCUGGGGGUCAGGGGCUCAUAUGAACAGGAGCCCAGUGAGGACUCUGGAGAGGGGAAGACCGUGUAGUUUUGGGUGGGACUGGGGUCCCACUCCUAGGUGGUGUCCUCUGGCUCUGGAGGCACCUCCACCUUGCAGUCUGGGCCUCUGCCCGGGGCUGUCACUCCCGCUGCUCUCCUGGUCUCCCCGGAGCCUUGCGGGACUGCAUGGUUGCCACUGCAGCCUGCGGCUUCCCCACACCUGAGCCAGCCUGAGCCAGAAGCAGGUGGCCCGGGACCAGAGGAGCGGGGGGUCAGGUGGGGGUGCGAUGGGGUGCGGGGAGCCUGACCUACAAGCCCUAGCCAGCACCCUGAGGGAUGGGGGCUCUGGCCCACUCCCAUCACAAGGUCACAGUGACUUCCUUUUUGUCUCUCAGCUGCUCUGAAGAGAAGGUGUGUGGACUGGGGUGUAGAAGAGGAUAGGACCCCAAAGGCCCCGCUGGGUGGGGCUGGCAUUUCCAUGUCUCACAGGCUACAAUUCUGACAACAAAACCCCUCAAUUCCUGCAGGGCCAGCAAGUGCCAGGUUCUGUGCGGAGAGCUCUAUCGGGACUCAUUUAUUUCCCACAACAGCCCUGGGAGGUGGGCACGCUACAACCCCCACCACACAGAUGAGGGAAAUGAAGCUCCGAGAGGUUGAGGGACUUGCCCAGGGCACACAGCUAGGGCGCAGAGAGGCUGGGAUUGGAGCUCAAUCUAGCUCCGGAGCGAAUAAUGUACUUUUUUAAAAAGAUUUUAUUCAUUUAUUUGAAAGAGAGAUAGCGAGAGAGAGCACAAGUGGGCAGAAGGAGCAGCGACUCCCCGCUGAGCGGGAAGCCUCAUGUGGGGCUCGAUCCCAGGACCCUGAGAUCCUGACCGGAGCCGAAGGCAGCUGCUUAACCGACUGAGCCACCCAGGUGCCCCGCAAAUAAUGUUCUAGCCAUGUCAUUUUUGCAGUCCAGACUCCGGGGUUCUAGGCUCAAUUGCAUUCUUGGGCAAGUCUCAACUUCUCUGGGCCUCAGUUUCUCCUCCUAUGAAGUGAGAGGAGUGGGGCGCCUGGGUCUCAUCUCAGCAAGGAGUCACUGAGAUGAUGCAUACAGAGGGUUUAGUGUGACGUGACACAUGGGAAAUGCUCAACACAUCACCUUGGGAUGCCCUUCCCUCCUCCCGCCCACCCCCUACUCCCUACCCCCUCCACGAAGCUGCCCUGCUGACUGCUGCAAGCCCUCACUCGCUGCCUCCUCCUCCACAAACUCCUGCGACCUUUGUGCUGCACAAAUAGGCAUGUUUGGUUGAGUUGGAUUCCUGUUGCUCACCUCCCCAGGAUCUAGACUGCUCUCACUUCUCUAGAGUCUCAAUUCCCAUUGGGAAUUCACAUGGUUUCAGGGAAGCUGAUUCUACUUCCUCCUACCCCCCCACCCCUCAUUCUAAGGGUGAGGCACAUGCUCUGAGCUAAGCCACUGAACAACCUCUGCCCCUAAGGGUUAAUCCCCAGGUGGGCAGGUGACCUUACUCAGUCCACAGUGAAUCUCAGGAAUUCUGGGACACAGAUUCUAUUUUCUCUGUGGCUCCAGGUGGUGUGGAGUACAAAUGUGAGGUAUGGAACUGCUGCAGCCAUUUUGCUAUCAUAGGAGAAACCAGCCUGAGGAUGACGCUGAGGGUGCAGAGCUAGGAGACUAGCAGAGAAAUGGAGUUCUGAUCAAACCAUGCCUGACUGCUGGGCUCCGAUAGGCUUUUCAGUUUCAUGAGCCAACAAAUUUCCUUUAUUGUUAAGUCGAUUUUCUAUUAUUUGCAACUAAAAUCAACCUGAUUCAAACACUAUCUAGUCAAACAAUGUUGUUACCAAGAGAUAUUUAUUCACUUAUAUAUUGAUCAGGCCUCUGCUCUACACCAAACACUAUCCUGGGUGAGGAGUACUGAUGUGGUCCCAUCCUCCUCAAAGGCUUACAGUCCGAUGGAAAGAAUCAGGGAUUAAAAUGCCUGCCUUGGGGGCUCUGAUGUAUGUAACCUGCUCAGCAUCCACCCCCCCCCCCUUUAAAUAGCAGAACCCUGACUUUUCUUUGGAUACCAUCUAAAGACCUGGUCAACUGACCAGGUGACUGGUCUCAUUCAGUGAUGAGUCACUGACAGUGACUCAUUCAGUGAUGGGCAUGAGAGUCAGCCCCGACACUGUAAGCUUUGAAACACAGGUCCUGUACUUCUGGGGCUUACUAAACUGGGGAAACAUAAGGCUGGGGUUUCCUCAAGCUGAAAGAGUGCUAGGACUAGUUAAUCUCUGAGUGCUGGUAGCAACUGACUUCUCUGACUUCACUCCUUCAUUCAACCAGCUGUCAGUGCCUCCUCCCACGCCUGAGCCUGUGCUGUAAGAUGGGGAAGGAGGGAUGAAGAGAAUGUGGCCGCUCCUUUUGAGGUCAGUCUAAAGAGAAGGACAAAUGAAUAGGUAAUGCACAACACAGCGUAGCUAAACUAGGACUCACCAGCUUAGCUUCAAGGCAUUCAUUGUUGUUGUUAAUUCUGUGACAUGUUACACAUAGGAAAAAUUAGAAGACUCAAGAAAGGUUUAAAAAUAAAAAUCUCCUGGGGCACCUGGCUGGCUCUAUCAGCGGAGCCUGCGCGGUUCUUGAUCUCGGGGUCGUGAGUUCAAGCCCCACAUUGGGCAUAGAGAUGACUUAAAUAAACAAAUUAAAAAAAAAAAAAGAAAGAAAGAAAAAGAAAAAUCUCCCUUAGUUCCACCACUCAGCUAUGAUCAUGGUUAAUAUUUUUGUCUACAAUCUUCCAGAUGCUUUUCUAUGUGCAUACACUUAAAAAAAACCCCAACUGAAUGCAAUGUGGCAUAUUGAGUUAAAUCCUGGAACAGAAGAAAGGGCACUAGUGGAAGAACUGGUAAAAACCAAAUAAAGUCAGAGUCUAAUAAUGUCCCAAUGCUCAUCUCGGUUUUGGUAAAUACCAUGAUUAUGUUAACAGCACGGGAAGCUGGGUGACGUGUAUGCAGAAAUCUCUGUGUGCUAUCUUUGGAA